GACGAACGCUGGCGGCGUGCUUAACACAUGCAAGUCGAGCGAGGCCCCUCCUUCGGGAGGGUGUCCUAGCGGCGAACGGGUGAGUAACACGUGGGCAACCUGCCCUCAGCUCUGGGAUAACUCCGGGAAACCGGGGCUAAUACCGGAUACGACCUCCACGGGCAUCUGCGGAGGUGGAAAGGUUUUCGGCUGAGGAUGGGCCCGCGGCCUAUCAGCUAGUUGGUGGGGUAGUGGCCAACCAAGGCGACGACGGGUACCCGGCCUGAGCGGGCAACCGGCCAAGCUGGGACUGAGACACGGCCCAGCCUCCUACGGGAGGCAGCAGUGGGGAAUAUUGCGCCAUGGGCGGAAGCCUGACGCAGCGAAGCCGCGUGAGGGACGAAGGCCUUCGGGUUGUAAACCUCUUUCAGCAGGGACGAAGCGAAAGUGACGGUAGCUGCAGAAGAAGCACCGGCCAACUACGUG
rnacentral:rRNA from 1 species